rnacentral:rRNA from 1 species
UACGUAGGUGGCAAGCGUUGUCCGGAUUUACUGGGCGUAAAGAGCGCGCAGGCGGUCGUUCAAGUCGCGUGUGAAAGCCCCCGGCUCAACUGGGGAGGGUCACGCGAUACUGAUCGACUCGAAGGCAGGAGAGGGUAGUGGAAUUCCCGGUGUAGUGGUGAAAUGCGUAGAUAUCGGGAGGAACACCAGUGGCGAAGGCGACUACCUGGGAUGUUUCUUGACGCUGAGGCGCGAAAGCUAGGGGAGCAAACGGG